rnacentral:tRNA from 1 species
GGAAGAUCGUCAUCUCCGGUGAGGUGGCUGGACUUCAAAUCCAGUUGGGGCCGAUACCCUUCGCUUUAGCACUUCUCGCCA